rnacentral:tRNA from 1 species
UGGGCCGGUAGAUCAGUGGCAGAUCGCCCGGUUCGCGCCCGGGAGGCCGCGGGUUCGAAUCCCGCCCGGUCCAAC